UUCAUUCCAUAGCAAAACAACACUUCAUCUCAUCUCUUCAUCUCUUUCACCUCUUCAUCUCAGAUCAACACUUCAUCUCUUCUCUUCUCUUCAUCUCAGAUCUCACUUCACCUCAUUAUUGGUUAUAAAAAUUAAAAUAAAUGCUUAUUUAUGAUUUCGUUGACCCAUAUUGCUUGCUGAAAAGUCAUACAAUGAAUGUGUCAGCUAAUUGCUUGCUAUUCUUAAUAUUAUUUUAAUGUUUUUAAUGCUUUUUUUGGUUACAAUGUUUUUAAUGCUUAUCUUUACCAA
rnacentral:lncRNA from 1 species